GGAUCCUGAGACCUCCCAUGCCCUCUCUUUGGCCCCGGUGCUUCUGGAAUGAGGGAGGAGAAGGAGCCAGUCUGGAAGGGAGGCUGACAAGUUUCAUUUUUAAAAAUUGAUCUGCACUUGGAUAUCUCUGGAGAUGCCAGUAAGGUUGUUGGGUACAGAGGUCUGCAGCUCAGAGACCAGCAGGCAUCCUGAACAAGACAGAUCCAGGCAGACGGAAUGGCCUGUAGGAGAACUUGGCAGAGGGCACAACCAAGAAGAGUUCAAAGGCGCUGGCCAGUUCCAUGCGACUGCAUGGGGUCAUGGGAGAAGAGAUACACUUAAACCAGGGUCCCACAGGCUCAAUGGGUCUCCUUCCAAAAUCAGCUUCCAAUGAGCCCUCAGAUUCUCCAAAUACUGGGCAGCUGGAUUUCCCAGACACCUUCUGCAAUCUGCUGACAUCUAAUAUACCUGUAGACUGUUCUCCUGCUGACAAGGUUGUUCUUGCUCUUAUCCUAUAAAGAAGAGAGGUGGCAGAGAGUUGGAGGGGAGGGCCUCCUUCCCUGGCAUGUCCAUCCGAGGGUCUCCAAGAACAUCCUGGCUGUGGCCCACACCUUUCUGUGUGGUUAGGAGGAGUAUCGGAUGCCUUCUCUUUCCAACCUUGGCUUGUGUGAAGAUGGUGUUAUGGUGAUGUAAGAGGACGGCUCUAUUCUGAGUGAUGCAAGAUCCAACAUUUAGGCAUGAAAUGCCAUGAUGACAGCCGCCUACUUUAGCAAAAGGGAAGUUGUGUGUGUGUGUGUGUGUGUGUGUGUGUGUGUGUGUGUGUGUGUGUUUUUACGCGUAUGCAUAUAAAUAGAGGAAGUCGCUGCAGCUAGAUGGUGAAUCUACGUGAGGAGUAUCUGGCUGUUCCUUGUACUGUUCUUUCAACUUUCUGUGGGUUUGAAAAUUUUCAAAACAAGACAAAAAAUGUUUUUCAAGCACUGUUUGAGAGGAUAGGAAAUAGAAAUGGCUCUUAUUAAAGAGCCAUUCAGAAGACUGUUUUCUUCUAUUUCCUUUUCCCCCACGACUAUGACCCUCAGUGCCAGCGAUUUCUCCUUUCCAUAAACUUUUGUUUGACCUUAAAUCAUUGUGACACCACUGAGCAGGGAAUCUCAAUAAUGGCUGACAUAUCUGGUAGCAAAAGGAAAUGAAGUAUUUUUAUUUUCUCAGGGAACUAAAGGUUAUCUUCUAAAUUCAAAUUUUUUUUUUUUUUUUUAAAGAUGAAGUGUUGCUCUGUCACCCAGGCUGCAGGGAAGUGGUGUGAUCUUGGCUCACUGCAACCUCCGCCUCCCAGGUUCAAACAAUUCUCCUGUCUCAGCCUCCCGACUAGCUGGGACUACAGGCGCGGGCCAGCACACCUGGCUAAUUUUUGUAUUUUUAGUAGAGAAGGGGUUUCACCAUGUUGGCCAGCCUGGUCUCGAACUUCUGGUCUCAAGUGAUCCACCUGCCUUGGUCUCCCAAAGUGCUGGGAUUACAGGCAUGAGCCACUGCACCCAGCCUCAAAUUUCUUAUAUUGAGCUUCAACUAUGCAAGAUCCCAUGAGAGGAAUGAUAUACCAAGAUGAACAACAAUAUGGUCUCUGCCUUCAAGGGGUAUAAAAUCUAACCCAUACAAAUGGGCUCCCAAGCAUUUUUU
rnacentral:lncRNA from 1 species